rnacentral:rRNA from 1 species
UACGUAGGGUGCGAGCGUUAAUCGGAAUUACUGGGCGUAAAGCGUGCGCAGGCGGUUGUGCAAGACAGAUGUGAAAUCCCCGGGCUUAACCUGGGAACUGCAUUUGUGACUGCACGGCUGGAGUGCGGCAGAGGGGAUGGAAUUCCGCGUGUAGCAGUGAAAUGCGUAGAUAUGCGGAGGAACACCGAUGGCGAAGGCAAUCCCCUGGGCCUGCACUGACGCUCAUGCACGAAAGCGUGGGGAGCGAACAGG